rnacentral:lncRNA from 1 species
UUGAGUGGCCAUCUAAAAUAAACAAACCAUGCAUCUUGGUUUAAAUAGCAGAGAUUUUAGAAAAAUGAAUAUAAUUACUUUAGUAUGAAUAAUUUUAAAAGUAUGAAUAUAAUUACUGUAGAAUAAUUACUUUAAAAGUAUUAAAAUAAUUACUUGUUACGAAUAAAUUUAUAAUCUUUUGAAACAAACAAUAUUUAAAAGAGAAAUUUAGGAUCAUACCCAUAGUAGAAACAAAAUGAAGUUUAUACACAUAACAUGGGAUGUACUAUGAUAUGUUACAUUACGGGUGGGCGUUCGGGUACAUAUUCAGGGUUCGGUUCGGGUCUAUUCGGGUUUCGGAUUUUCGGGGUCAAAAUUUUCAGUCCCAUUCGGGUAUUUCUAAAU